rnacentral:rRNA from 1 species
GAUGAACGCUGGCGGCGUGCCUAAUACAUGCAAGUAGAACGCUGAAGGAAGGAGCUUGCUCUUUCCGGAUGAGUUGCGAACGGGUGAGUAACGCGUAGGUAACCUGCCUGGUAGCGGGGGAUAACUAUUGGAAACGAUAGCUAAUACCGCAUAACAGUAGAUGUUGCAUGAUAUCUACUUAAAAGGUGCAAUUGCACCACUACCAGAUGGACCUGCGUUGUAUUAGCUAGUUGGUGAGGUAACGGCUCACCAAGGCGACGAUACAUAGCCGACCUGAGAGGGUGAUCGGCCACACUGGGACUGAGACACGGCCCAGACUCCUACGGGAGGCAGCAGUAGGGAAUCUUCGGCAAUGGACGGAAGGCUGACCGAGCAACGCCGCGUGAGUGAAGAAGGGUUUCGGAUCGUAAAGCUCCGUUGUAAGAGAAGAACGAGUGUGAGAGUGGAAAGUUCACACUGUGACGGUAGCUUACCAGAAAGGGACGGCUAACUACGUG